UGCGUAGGUGGUUUUGUAAGCGUGGGGUGAAAGGCAAUAGCUUAACUAUUGUAAGCCCUGCGAACUGUGAGACUUGAGUGCAGGAGAGGAAAGCGGAAUUCCUAGUGUAGCGGUGAAAUGCGUAGAUAUUAGGAGGAACACCAGUGGCGAAGGCGGCUUUCUGGACUGUAACUGACACUGAGGCACGAAAGCGUGGGGAGCAAACA
rnacentral:rRNA from 1 species